GGGGAAUCUUCCGCAAUGGGCGAAAGCCUGACGCAGCAACGCCGCGUGGAGGAUGAAGGUCUUCGGAUCGUAAACUCCUGUCAGGGGGGACGAAAGCCUUAACCGGUUUGACUGUACCCCCUGAGGAAGCCACGGCUAACUCCGUGCCAGCAGCCGCGGUAAUACGGAGGUGGCAAGCGUUGUUCGGAAUUACUGGGCGUAAAGGGCGCGUAGGCGGCAUGGCAAGUCAGAUGUGAAAGCCCCGGGCUUAACUCGGGAACUGCAUCUGAAACUGCUUUGCUUGAGUCCUGGAGGGGGUAGUGGAAUUCCCAGUGUAGCGGUGAAAUGCGUAGAUAUUGGGAGGAACACCGGUGGCGAAGGCGGCUACCUGGACAGUGACUGACGCUGAUGCGCGAAAGCCAGGGGAGCAAAAGGGAUUAGAUACCCCU
rnacentral:rRNA from 1 species